rnacentral:sRNA from 1 species
UUGCCGCAGUUGGCACACGUAAAUGGGC